rnacentral:rRNA from 1 species
UACGAAGGGGGCUAGCGUUGUUCGGAAUCACUGGGCGUAAAGGGCGCGUAGGCGGCUUUAUAAGUCGGGGGUGAAAGCCUGUGGCUCAACCACAGAAUUGCCUUCGAUACUGUAGAGCUUGAGACCGGAAGAGGUAAGUGGAACUGCGAGUGUAGAGGUGAAAUUCGUAGAUAUUCGCAAGAACACCAGUGGCGAAGGCGGCUUACUGGUCCGGAACUGACGCUGAGGUGCGAAAGCGUGGGGAGCAAACAGG